AGAUCUCCUCAGCCUCCCGAGCUUCUGGGAUUACAGGUGUGUGCCACCCUGCCCAGCUCCCCUCAGUCUUUGUCUGCAUGGCCACCAGAGCCUCGUGUCCUUUUUUCUGGCUUUAGCAUCUGGGCCUAUUUUCAGUUCCCUAGGGUGUUUCUGGGGUGCCCUCUCGCCUUUCAAGCCAGGUAAUGCUUUUGCAUGUCCAGCCCCACCAGGUUCCCUGUAGGAAGGUUUCUGGACAGCAGUGUGGCUGAGAGAUUUGGCUACAGCCACUACCUUUGAACCUGUAUUGCAUUGUGAAAGAACCAGCCUGCCGUGUGGGUGACAUCCCUGGAUGGGUAGAGCUGAGAAACCUCCCAGUGUGAGUGAACAGGAACACCUGUUUGCUCUAGGACAGGCCAUUGGAAACGUCCAGUGGUGACCCUUCCAACCCUCCCCGACCGCUUGGCAGGCUCCCUUACUUCCCCGUAGUACGGUUAGUUUUGAUCUUUAUGAUGACUGGCUCCAAGAUGUUGUGCUGCUGGCUUAUACAAUGGUGAUGGGUAGACAUGCCCUACAUAAACUGUAGCUCUGCCGCGAUAAAACGAGCUCAGCGCCACCAAGCCUGACUCCUGGAGUCUUCGUGUGUGGACUCCGUUGCUUCACCUCCUCGCGGGACGCAACCCCACCACAUCACAACAUCUGGUGUCCGACAAUGUGGGGCGGCCCCUGCGGGACGACUUCUGUGGCAACAAAGGAAAGAAAUGGCCUCUCGGCUCAUCUGGAUCCCGACAAAGACCAUCCGCCCAGUCCUACAACAUGAAUCUCCCACCCAGGAUGGUGGAACCACCAGCCAGGCACCUGAAGGAGCUCUCUGUUGACGACACCCCACCUCCCAGCUCCGCCUGUGGCUUUCCUGGAACUUUGCCUGCCGACACCUCUGCCACCAGCAAUGGAAGGAAGAAAUGCCCACGCCAUCACGGACGAUCUCAUGGUAGAAGAGCACAAAAAAUAACUUGGGGGGACAUAAAGAACUUGGGGGGACAUAGAGAGCUUGGCUCAACAAGCCCAGGAUAUGGCCCCAGACCCGGAGCCAGGGGCGGACACUCUUUUUCUGUUACCGUGCACCAUCACCACCGCUACUCACGAGCACAGGCAUGAUAGGCGGGGGCACCAACUCCUGGAGUUUUGUUACCUGUUGGCCUAGACGAUACAGUCUUGCCCUUCUUGUUUGCUACUAAUGUUACCUCUCAUUCCUGUAAUGUUGGAUCCCAUGGUACAGUAUUCUUGGAACCCAUCACUUAAAGUCAAUCAUACAUGGA